rnacentral:rRNA from 1 species
GUGGGGAAUAUUGGGCAAUGGACGUAAGUCUGACGGAGCAACGCCGCGUGAGUGAAGAAGGUUUUCGGAUCGUAAAGCUCUUUCGUUAGGGACGAACGUGCUCUUUGUGAAUAAUGAGGAGUAAUGACGGUACCUAAAUAAGAAGCCACGGCUAACUACGUGCCAGCAGCCGCGGUAAUACGUAGGUGGCAAGCGUUGUCCGGAAUUAUUGGGCGUAAAGCGCGCGCAGGCGGGAUAUCAAGUCUGUCUUAAAAGUGCGAGGCUCAACCUCGUGAGGGGACAGAAACUGGUAUUCUUGAGUGUCGGAGAGGAAAGUGGAAUUCCAAGUGUAGCGGUGAAAUGCGUAGAGAUUUGGAAGAACACCAGUGGCGAAGGCGACUUUCUGGACGAAAACUGACGCUGAGGCGCGAAAGCCAGGGGAGCGAACGGGAUUAGAAACCCGGGUAGUCC